rnacentral:sRNA from 1 species
AUUCUGCCCAUGCGGGGAAGGACGAGAAGCUUCGACCAAGGUUCGACUCGAGCGUCAGCGAGAGAGCGUUGCCGCAGGCAACGACCCGUAGGGCGAAGCUCGCAGCGCUGAGUAAUCCUUCCCCCACCACCA